rnacentral:tRNA from 1 species
CGGGCUGUAGCGCAGUUUGGUUAGCGCGCCUGACUGGGGGUCAGGAGGUCGGAGGUUCAAAUCCUCUCAGCCCGA